rnacentral:rRNA from 1 species
AUGGCCAUUGUUCAGGGGCAGGGCGUCCUUCUGCUGUACCAGCGCUCCUCCUUGAAGGUCGAGAAUGAGGAGCAGCACCGGCGUUCGCCGCAACCGUCAUCGAGCAGGACAAGGACGCAGUGUCUGCCCUCCUCCCAGACCGGCGCUGCAGGGUGUGCUACCACCAUGGAUCCUGCGGGAGGAGAUCCUCCGCGCCGCCCUGCUCGAGGUGGAACAUCAGAAGGCGAGGGCGCACGUGGGGGAGCUAACAACGGUGGAGAAGGGCCGCCAGAGGCCGUCGGAGAUGCGCCAAUAACGAAGGCGAUGCCAGAGGCCGAAACCCUAGCACGGGUGUGGGAUUUGGGCGAGCGGUAG